ensembl:snRNA U1 U1 spliceosomal RNA
AGGAAUACCUGGUGGGGGAGAUACCAUGAUCAGGCAGGUGGUUUUCUAGGGCAAGGCUCAUCCAUUACCCUUCAUAUGUGCUGACCUCGGCAAUUUCUCCAAAUUCAAGAAUUUCAAAUGCAUAGCUUGUGAUAGUAAGAACUGCAUUCACACUCUCCUUC